rnacentral:lncRNA from 13 species
GAUAAUGCAUAUUCCAAGUUCUGAGAAAGGUUUGAGUCCUAGGUUAGUGGCAUGAAAGCACAGCCCUGGGAGCCAUGGAGCAGCCAGUGCUCUGCCCACAUGUAACCCUUUGGGACCUCCACUUCAAUUCCCCCAAAGAGGAAAGAAAAGGAAAGAAGAACAAAGAUGUCUGAAGCACCGACAUCAGGCACUCGCCCAGCUGCCAUGGCCCCCCAAGUUGAAGAUCAUAUAACCUCUGCCUGCCCAAAUGAACCAAGCAUACAACCACAGGGGGAACCUAACUGUUCCAGUGGAAGAGCGGGGACCAAUUUAAGAGGUGGACACCAUGUGGCAGAAUCCAGGAUCCGAUCAUAUUGAGACCUGGGGUCACCCCGUGGCAGGAUCCAGUUGGAUCAUGCCUCCUGGCAUCACCUAUUGCAAGAUCCAAUCAGGAAAAGCACAGUACAGGGGACUUUGGAAGCAUAUGGCAGACCUAUCUAAUCCAGUGGAAAGAGACUUGAAAAAUCCUGGAAAGGGAGAUACAAACAGAAUCUUAAAAGGCCUGCUGAACACCCACGUCCAAGCCCGAACACAAAGCCACUGACCAGGACACAGCAGAGUCACCAGCCACCUUCACUGACUUUUAAAUAACAAAAGAAGUUUUGUUCUUCAUCCUCACUGACAAACUUGCAGAAGAAGGUGGGCAUCUGAUUGACAGGUAUCUUUACAACCUUUUGCAAUUGCCUUUUGAUUUUUGACUAAGAUUUGCAUUGAGAGUGUAUAUGAUAAAAUGUAUACAAGAAAGAAAUGGAAUCAGAAAUAACAUCAGGCUUUCAUUUAAAAAAUAUAAAUGAUUGCACAAAUUAAAGAAUUUCUCCUUGGAGUUUUGUUCUUUUAGGUUAUCAGAUAGAAAAUAGGAAAAUGCGAAAUGUACCUCAUGUUAAAAGAAAAAAUUUAGGACAAAUUAAGUUUAACAGAGUUUAAUUGAACAAAGAACAAUUGGUGAAUUGAGCAGCUCACAAACCAAUCAGAAUAGGUUGAGAGUGACUUCAGUACUGCCCCAUGGUUGGAGAAGAUUUAUGGACAGGAACAAAAGACACACAGAAGAUGAAAGUAACGUACAGAAAUAGCUGGGGCGGUUACAGCUCCAUGUUUGCCUUAUUUGAAAAGGGUUGACCAGUUGGCAGCUUGUAAUUGGUUGAAAAUCUGCAAUUGGCACAAAAGUAGGUCACAGUCCAUUGACAGAUCCAGUUAGGUUACAGUUCACUAUGUAUAGAAAAACUUUAGGAAGAACUUAAAAUAUGUAAGGAGGCAGCUUUAGGCUACGUUUAAUUUAACACUCAUGUUGUAAGAAUUAUGGAUGGACUGCAAUUCACUUGUUGAUGAGCAUUUAUUUGGAUUUUUACCUGGUUUUGGCUACUGUGAAUAAAGCUGUAAUGAAGUCUUGAAUUAGAAAACA